CAAAGGGAAAUUAUUGAUUUUCAAGGAAUCAAGCCAUUAAAGGUGGUGAGCAUUCUGGCAAGAGUAAAGAGGUAGUAUCCAAGGAUCAAGAAUCAGAGUAUCCCAAAUUCGAUUCCCAUUACAAUUGGUCACUGCAGUGGCGGGUUCUGUGGACCAACUUAUUAGAAGGGCACGAAAUUCGAGUAUAUUCUUACCUCGGUCAGAGAGGCACAUAGGGUAACUCCUGAGGUAAAACUUUAGAGUUCAUUUCACGCUGA
rnacentral:sRNA from 1 species